rnacentral:lncRNA from 10 species
UCCGUGUCCUAAAUUUUCUUGGUACGAGACAACGAACCCCAGGUAUUUACCCUAGACAACCUAGCUGCUUCAUAUUGAGAACCUCGUCCAGGAUACCAAGGUACAACAUUCAUCAAAAUGAUUUAUUCUGUGAAGCUUUGAACACUCACUGACUCAGAAUGGAGAAUUUUCAGUUUAACAAAGCAAACACUCAAUAAAUAUUAUUGGAUAUGAAAUUUGUUAAUCUGCACUUCCCCUGUUUGGAGAUAACCAUAUUUUCUGCUGCCCCAUUUGACAGAACUCCAACCUCUAGCAUUUCAAUGUUAAUCUGAAAGGGUUGUCAUUUGAAAUGGACAAAGGAAAGAAAAGACAGUUCGGAGUUGAAAAGGAGAAGUGCGGCAGCCUGGGAGGGUUUGUUAUGCUUGGCAAUGAGGAGAUGAUCAGAAGGUCGGAAGCCUGGCCUCCGUCUGUGCAGAGAGCGCGGGCCCAGCAUACAGAUGGCAGGUCGGUGUCUGAGAGCCCAGCCUCAGCCUGGAGCCCGUGGGCAAGGAGAGGGCACCAAAUGAAGAACUGACGCAGCUCCAAUGAGUGGAGGAACACCAGGUUCUUAGUCUCCAGUCGAAUUAGAUAAAAUGACACAGACACACGUGGAGUGGUUUUGAGAGACAGGACUAGCUGGAUUUCCUAGGCCGACUAAGAAUCCCUAAGCCUAGCUGUGAAGGUGACGGCUUCCACCUUUAAACACGGGGCUUGCAACUUAGCUCACACCCAGCCAAUCAGAUAGUAAAGACAG